AAGUCGUAACAAGGUUUCCGUAGGUGAACCUGCGGAAGGAUCAUUAUUGAAAUAAAUCUGAUAGGUUGCUGCUGGUUUCUUUCGGGAGCAUGUGCACACUUGUCAUCUUUAUAUCUCCACCUGUGCACCUUUUGUAAAUCUGAAUAUCUUUCUGAAUGCUCGCCAUUCAGGUUUGAGGAUUGAAUCUUUUUUCUUUCCUUAUAUUUUCAGGUUUAUGUUUUUCAUAUACCCCAUGUAUGUUAUAGAAUGUUAUAAACGGGCUUUUGUGCCUAUAAAUUUAUACAACUUUCAGCAACGGAUCUCUUGGCUCUC
rnacentral:misc_RNA from 1 species